rnacentral:rRNA from 1 species
AACGAACGCUGGCGGCAUGCCUCAUACAUGCAAGUCGAACGAUCACUUCGGUGGUAGUGGCGCACGGGUGCGUAACGCGUGGGAAUCUGCCCUUGGGUUCGGAAUAACGUCGGGAAACUGACGCUAAUACCGGAUGAUGACGUAAGUCCAAAGAUUUAUCGCCCAGGGAGGAGCCCGCGUAGGAUUAGCUAGUUGGUGGGGUAAAGGCCUACCAAGGCGACGAUCCUUAGCUGGUCUGAGAGGAUGAUCAGCCGCACUGGGACUGAGACACGGCCCAGACUCCUACGGGAGGCAGCAGUAGGGAAUAUUGGACAAUGGGGGCAACCCUGAUCCAGCAAUGCCGCGUGAGUGAUGAAGGCCUUAGGGUUGUAAAGCUCUUUUACCCGGGAUGAUAAUGACAGUACCGGGAGAAUAAGCCCCGGCUAACUCCGUGCCAGCCGCCGCCGUAA